UACAGAGGGUGCGAGCGUUAAUCGGAAUUACUGGGCGUAAAGCGUGCGCAGGCGGUUUGCUAAGACAGGUGUGAAAUCCCCGGGCUUAACCUGGGAACUGCGCUUGUUACUGGCAAGCUGGAGUGUGGGCAGAGGGGGUGGAAUUCCGACGUGUAGCAGUGAAAUGCGUAGAGAUCCGGAGGAACACCAGAGGCGAAGGCGGACAACCUGGCUCGUAACUGACGCUCAUACGACGACAGCAUGGGG
rnacentral:rRNA from 1 species